rnacentral:rRNA from 1 species
GAGCGUACGGUGGAUGCCUUGGCACCAGGAGCCGAUGAAGGACGUAGGAGGCUGCGAUAAGCCUCGGGGAGCUGUCAACCGAGCUGUGAUCCGAGGGUGUCCGAAUGGGGAAACCCAGCACGAGUGAUGUCGUGUUACCUGCAUCUGAAUAUAUAGGGUGUGUGGAGGGAACGUGGGGAAGUGAAACAUCUCAGUACCCACAGGAAGAGAAAACAAUUGUGAUUCCGUGAGUAGUGGCGAGCGAAAGCGGAGGAGGCCAAACUUUGUGCGUGUGAUACCCGGCAGGGGUUGCGUAUGGAGGGUUGUGGGGUUUGCAUGUGAUGGUUCUGCCGGACUGUCCGACAGUGAGAAAUCAUGGUGUUAGUCGAAGUGGUCUGGAACGGCCUGUCGUAGAGGGUGAGAGUCCCGUAGACGAAAACAUUGUGACUGUCGAGUGUGGAUGCCCAAGUAGCAGCGGGCCCGUGAAAUCUGCUGUGAAUCUGUCGGGACCACCCGAUAAGCCUGAAUACUCCCUGGUGACCGAUAGCGGACUAGUACCGUGAGGGAAAGGUGAAAAGUACCCCGGGAGGGGAGUGAAAUAGUACCUGAAACCGUGCGCUUACAAUCCGUCAGAGCUGGUGCACCACUUGUGGUGGCUGGUGAUGGCGUGCCUUUUGAAGAAUGAGCCUGCGAGUUAGUGGCAUGUCGCGAGGUUAACCCGUGUGGGGUAGCCGUAGCGAAAGCGAGUCCGAAUAGGGCGUAUCACCGUUUGGUGUGUAGUGGCGUGUUCUAGACCCGAAGCGGAGUGAUCUACCCAUGGCCAGGUUGAAGCGACGGUAAGACGUCGUGGAGGACCGAACCCACUUAGGUUGAAAACUGAGGGGAUGAGUUGUGGGUAGGGGUGAAAGGCCAAUCAAACUCCGUGAUAGCUGGUUCUCCCCGAAAUGCAUUUAGGUGCAGCGUCACGUGUUUCUCAUCGGAGGUAGAGCUACUGGAUGGUCUAGGGGGCUUACCGGCUUACCGAAAUCAGCCAAACUCCGAAUGCCGGUGAGUGAGAGCGUGGCAGUGAGACUGCGGGCGAUAAGGUUCGUAGUCGAGAGGGAAACAGCCCAGAUCGCCAGCUAAGGUCCCUAAGCGUGUACUAAGUGGAAAAGGAUGUGGGGUCGCGAAGACAACCAGGAGGUUGGCUUAGAAGCAGCCACCCUUGAAAGAGUGCGUAAUAGCUCACUGGUCAAGUGAUCCUGCGCCGACAAUGUAGCGGGGCUCAAGUACACCACCGAAGCUGCGGCACUCACACAACAGCCCGCAUCGUUCCUACGGGGAUGGUGCCAGGUGUGUGGGUGGGUAGGGGAGCGUCGUGCAGCCGUGGAAGCAUCGGGGUGACCUAGGUGUGGAGGCUGUGCGAGUGAGAAUGCAGGCAUGAGUAGCGAAAGACGAGUGAGAAACUCGUCCGCCGAAUGACCAAGGGUUCCUGGGCCAGGUUAAUCCGCCCAGGGUGAGUCGGGACCUAAGACGAGGCCGACAGGCGUAGCCGAUGGACAACGGGUUGAUAUUCCCGUACCCGUGUGAACGCGCCCCUGGUGAAUCAGUGAUACUAACCGCCCUGAAUCCCGGUGACGGAUCUCUUUCGAGAGUGAUGCGCUGGGUGGAUGCGUGGGACCUGAUCUGGUAGUAGCCAAGCGAUGGGGUGACGCAGGAAGGUAGCUGGGCCAGUCAGUGGUAGUACUGGUGUAAGCCUGUAGGGCGAGACAUAGGCAAAUCCGUGUCUCAUACAAGCCUGAGAGGUGAUGCGUAGCCGAUUGAGGCGAAUUCAGUGAUCCUAUGCUGCCGAGAAAAGCCUCUAGCGAGCUUUCACACGGCCCGUACCCCAAACCGACACAGGUGGUCAGGUAGAGAAUACUGAGGCGAUCGAGAUAACUAUGGUUAAGGAACUCGGCAAAAUGCCCCCGUAACUUCGGGAGAAGGGGGACCUCGUCCGGUGAUCAUCCUUGCGGUGUGAGCUGGGUGGGGUCGCAGAGACCAGUGAGAAGCGACUGUUUACUAAAAACACAGGUCCGUGCGAAGUCGUAAGACGAUGUAUACGGACUGACGCCUGCCCGGUGCUGGAAGGUUAAGAGGACCGGUCAACUGCACUUGUGUGGUGAAGCUGAGAAUUUAAGCCCCAGUAAACGGCGGUGGUAACUAUAACCAUCCUAAGGUAGCGAAAUUCCUUGUCGGGUAAGUUCCGACCUGCACGAAUGGCGUAACGACUUCUCAGCUGUCUCAACCAUAGACUCGGCGAAAUUG